UUGCUUCUCCGACAGACCACACCCCCCUAUUGCGAUUCUGAAACAAACCACCACCACCACUAACCGGUGGUGGUGCGGCGGUGCGACAGAAGAGAGAGAGAGAGAGUCGAGAUGGGAGAGAGGACCGCCGCUCACGGCGGCGGCGGUGACGAAGUCAGGCGGCGGCGGAGGAGGAGUCAGACGACGGAGACAGCGGGGUCGGAGACUCGGACCAAUAGUUUAUGUCUUGGACCGGUGGUUUGUGUUUCGGACCGGUGGUCGGUUCGUUUAUCUGGCGGUCCAUGUCUUUAUCCGACGAGUCACCCGAUUUCGGGUUCCGAGACUAAAGGCGGUUCGGGUCAGAUUUAGAGCAAGUCAGCCACGGUUCGGGUGAUAGUUUUGUUUUCGGGUAGACUUUGGUCAGCGGCUCAGUCAACAGGUCAAACGGUUCGGUUCGGGUCUCGCGGUUCUGUUAGACGGUCAGCUUCAGUUUUGGCUCGGUCAACUCGGGUCAAAUCCGGUUAACUCGGUUAACUCCGUUAACCCGGUUGACUCGGUCAACUCAACGAGUCAACUCGGUCAGCCCAGUUGACUCGGUCAACUCAAUUAGCGUUUCGACUCGAGUAGAUGGUAAAGAUUAACAGCGCGUUUUAUUCCGUUAUUUCAUAAUUUUAGAUAUUACGUGUAAAACGAGCUCAAACCGAUCUAAUACAAGUAUAGUUUGAUUUCAAAUUAUCCAAA